GAAAGCUAAGACUUGGACACGAGCAGUAAAAGUAAAAAUGAUGCGAAGGGAUAAGUUGUAGGAUGAAGGCGUGGUUGGUGAACGUUAGGGCUGGGCAGUGACCAUGUGGUCUGCUUUAUAAGCCUUCACUGGUGGCAAUGACCUCGUGUCUUCAUUGCAAUCACUGCAGCGGUGAUCCAUGACUGCGAGGCGGACCACAGGUUCGCGGUCGCUGGGCAGGCCGACCAAACCUGGACUUGGUAGCAAAGAAGUGCAAUUUAGGCGACUGGUUCUUGAUAUACCACCUCGGGCGCAACAUGGAACCCAUGGUGUAUGGCGAGUUCUUGAAGGAGUUCGCCAAGGAGUUGGAAAAUUCAGUCUCGACGCUGGAACGCAAGCCAAUGCUAGUUGGUAGUUAAUAGGAAGUUUGCGAUUACCUUUUUUUGUUAUUGGAGUUUGUGAUUGAAAACUCGAGCCAUUCAGUGUCAAUUUAAGUGUAUUAGGUUAUGUCGUAAGUUUUAAGAAGAUUAGAAAAAAGGAAAUCUAUCUUUUGUUUUUUUUAGUUCUUUUACAGAUGAAAUUAAUGAUAGUGAAAUUAUUUUUAAAUGGAUGAAAAUUUACCGAGACAUGACUCAGAUUUGUGUAUGAGCAUGUGAAGUUGCAAGUUUGAUAUAAAAAUAGUUAAUGAAAGAAGCAUUAGGUGUUAUAUUUUUUUACAAGGAAGAAUUGUAGGUGUUAAUGAUGAAGACAAUCAGUCCAAUACUGUUACCUGGAGUGAGUGAACCUUUGACAGGGGCUGGCUCACCUGCACGUGAUCUAGCUAUUACACUAUGUACAUAACCAUGUGCCAUGCAGUCGUGUGAAAUUUAAUUGAGAAUUAUUUUGUGAAUGGAGUUGCAUUGAUGGUAAUGCUUGGUACAGUUUUGAAAAGGAUGAUUGUUCUCCAUGUAGAACUAGGACUCAAAAUUUGUCAUAAGGAUCAACUUCAUAUAGUAGAUAAGUUGUCAAAUGAUUGUAUUCCUACUUUGACAAGCCAUUUUAUUAUGGCUUUGAUGAGCAUAUUGUUAUUGUAUAUUUUUGUAGUGCAUUCUGAUUAAUUUAUCUUUUAAAGAUAGUUGCCUCCUUUAGGCAGUAGAGAUAUACUACAGGAGCAUGAGUCAUUUACUUGGAUCUCUGUUAAUCAUGAUAAGUACAUUGAUCAACUUUAAGAAUCAAUAGAGAAUUUAACAAAUACUGCCGGAGAAGUAACUUGAAUGAUAUAGUAGGGAAUAAGCUUGAUUGUAGAUUCUUAGAAGCAUGUGCUGCUGCUCUCUAGCUGAUAUUGUCCAGAGAUGCAACUAAGGCAUGGAUGUGCCAUGGCGUGACUGGAGGAUGUGAUUAAUUCUAUACAAAUUCACUAUGUGAUAAACAGUAGGAUGGUAUUUUAUAAUGUAAUUACUGUUAUUCUCUUUAUUUUCUCAACAAGAGCACUAUGAAAGACACGUUUAGAGAUUUUCGUUUUAGGCCUAGAAGCAAGAUGGUUUGUCAUGCUCUUUAAUAGCUGACAUUGCAGUUAAAUGAAGUGCCUUAAAAAGAAAUUGCUCAAUGUGUGAUGGCAGAUUUAAAGGAUAGAUGCACAUAUUUGUUGUGCUUUAAUUCUCUGAAAUAUGCAAUGGAUGAUAUGUAAUUUCUGUAAUUGUAAGGAUCUAAAGAUUUUUUUCCCCAAGUUCAGUUAUUUAGAACCUAUCAUUUUUUUUAGUUUGCUUAAUACAAUUAAAGCAUCAAUGGUGACUUUGUAUCAGUUUUGAUUUAAUUAGUUGCAACAUUUUUUGUGGUUCCUAUAAUAAUGUAUGUAUUUUUACUAGUGUAACAAGAUCAUUUUAUAUAUGUCUCUAUGAUGAAAAAUACUACCAUUAAAAGCAGUUUAGCAGGGAGACAGUUACAUUAAAAAGGUGAGAAAAAUGCCUUCGACAAGUAACAAAAGAAAUUUGAUUUUGUUUUUGAACCACUUCCAGUAAGAGUGAAUAUUUAGUAGAAAAGAAAGGUAAAAGUAUAGAUUAUUUGCCCUUACAUAUUGCAGAUGUUUUACAGAACUACAUUGGUGAAUAUUAAGGAAAGCAGUUGGCCAAAAUGAUGACAUAAGACUGCAGUCUUGCAAAAUUUUGUAAUACUGGGGUGAAUAAAGAAAUUCAGCACAA
rnacentral:lncRNA from 1 species